GGGCCCGCACAAGCGGUGGAGUAUGUGGUUUAAUUCGAUGCAACGCGAAGAACCUUACCAGGGUUUGACAUCCUGCGAAUCUCUUGGAAACGAGAGAGUGCCUUCGGGAGCGCAGUGACAGGUGGUGCAUGGCUGUCGUCAGCUCGUGUCGUGAGAUGUUGGGUUAAGUCCCGCAACGAGCGCAACCCACGUCUUUAGUUGCCAGCAUUUAGUUGGGCACUCUAGAGAGACCGCCGGUGAUAAACCGGAGGAAGGUGUGGAUGACGUCAAGUCAUCAUGCCCCUUACAUCCUGGGCUACACACGUACUACAAUGGCUAGGACAGACGGCCGCAAACCCGCGAGGGGGAG
rnacentral:rRNA from 1 species